rnacentral:lncRNA from 1 species
AUGGGUCUCUCCCCGCAGAGCAGACUUUGUCAUUGCGAGGGCUCUGGGCGUCCUUGCAGAAUGACUCCUUUUCCCCUUCUUUUUGCCAGAAACAGGAUUUUCCUUGGCUCUUCACCUGAGAAUCUGGGGAUACAACACGUGACAGCAUGGGGCUCCCCUAAGACUGUGGUCCCAGGCAUUUCUCCUCUCCAGCUCACCCACCUGUCACCCAGUGUGGACAUCGCCACCUCUGCGUCCUUGCCAUUUCCGGCUGCAGUGCUUCUCCCCAGGCUCCAGUGGGGUCCUGCUGAAUUCGUCUCAUGUGCAACCCGCUCCUUCCUGGCGAGUCCGGCGACCCGUGUCCUCGAGAAAAAAAACCACAGUUGCCUGAUGCCUGCUUCGUUCACGCCUCGUCUGAGCUGCCGCAGUCUCCUCGUUCCUGUCUGGGACCUAAAGCAUCUAUUUCUGAUCUUCGGGAAGCCAAAGGCCACAUCUGUGACAACGCCUUCAGAUUUUACCCAGAAAACCCACUUGGUUGGGCUUUGCUUCGCUGAUGUCUUGUCCUGUUUUCAAGCUGCAGUUGGGACGGUAGGGGGACGUGUGACCCUCUGCUGGGAUGGAGGCCCAGGGUGGAGGAGCUGGUGCCUGCUGGGAGGCCCAGGGCAGCCUGAGAAGGGGGGCUCUAUUAUUUUGGAUUUGCUGCUUGUUUGGAAGAGAAAAGCGUGCCGCUGUUUUGCACAUUCAUUUUCUCGACAAAGUAACAGGUUCCUGGAAAGACCACGUCUUUGGCCUGUCUGA